rnacentral:ncRNA from 2 species
AGAAUCGGAGACAUUUCAGGUGCUCAUAAUUGAGCCUAACAGGGAACUCCGUAAAAACGGGACGGGCCCGCCGCUGUGACCUCUGCCUUCUUCUUGAGGGCAACGCUUUCGGUACUUUUUUCGACCACUGUUCAAAUUGAUUUUCUGUGAAUGGGAAGGUCUCUGGAAGCGGGAGGAAGUCAGAAGACCUGCCUGAAUGAAGACUCACAC